GACGAACGCUGGCGGCGUGCUUAACACAUGCAAGUCGAACGGAAAGGCCCUGCUUUUGUGGGGUGCUCGAGUGGCGAACGGGUGAGUAACACGUGAGUAACCUGCCCUUGACUUUGGGAUAACUUCAGGAAACUGGGGCUAAUACCGGAUAGGAGCUCCUGCUGCAUGGUGGGGGUUGGAAAGUUUCGGCGGUUGGGGAUGGACUCGCGGCUUAUCAGCUUGUUGGUGGGGUAGUGGCUUACCAAGGCUUUGACGGGUAGCCGGCCUGAGAGGGUGACCGGCCACAUUGGGACUGAGAGACGGCCCAGACUCCUACGGGAGGCAGCAGUGGGGAAUAUUGCACAAUGGGCGGAAGCCUGAUGCAGCAACGCCGCGUGCGGGAUGACGGCCCUCGGGUUGUAAACCGCUUUCGCCUGUGACGAAGCGUGAGUGACGGUAAUGGGUAAAGAAGCACCGGCUAACUACGUG
rnacentral:rRNA from 1 species